GGGGCAGCCGCCGCGGUAAUACGUAGGGUGCGAGCGUUAAUCGGAAUUACUGGGCGUAAAGCGUGCGCAGGCGGUUAUAUAAGACAGAUGUGAAAUCCCCGGGCUCAACCUGGGACCUGCAUUUGUGACUGUAUAGCUAGAGUACGGUAGAGGGGGAUGGAAUUCCGCGUGUAGCAGUGAAAUGCGUAGAUAUGCGGAGGAACACCGAUGGCGAAGGCAAUCCCCUGGACCUGUACUGACGCUCAUGCACGAAAGCGUGGGGAGCAAACAGGAUUAGAUACCCUGGUAGUCCACGCCCUAAACGAUGUCAACUGGUUGUUGGGUCUUCACUGACUCAGUAACGAAGCUAACGCAUAAAGUUGACCACCUAAAAAAUACGGCCGCAAGGUUGAAACUUAAAUGAAUUGGCGG
rnacentral:rRNA from 1 species